CAGUAGCCGCGGUAAUACAGAGGGUGCGAGCGUUAAUCGGAUUUACUGGGCGUAAAGCGUGCGUAGGCGGCUUUUUAAGUCGGAUGUGAAAUCCCUGAGCUUAACUUAGGAAUUGCAUUCGAUACUGGGAAGCUAGAGUAUGGGAGAGGAUGGUAGAAUUCCAGGUGUAGCGGUGAAAUGCGUAGAGAUCUGGAGGAAUACCGAUGGCGAAGGCAGCCAUCUGGCCUAAUACUGACGCUGAGGUACGAAAGCAUGGGGAGCAAACAGGAUUAGAUACCCCCGUAGUCCCUGUCUUUUAUAC
rnacentral:rRNA from 1 species